UACGUAGGGGGCAAGCGUUGUCCGGAUUUAUUGGGCGUAAAGAGCUCGUAGGCGGUUGGGCAAGUCACGUGUGAAAUCUCCACGCUCAACGUGGAGGCGCCACGUGAGACUGCCCUGACUCGAGUCCGGUAGGGGAGCGUGGAAUUGCCGGUGUAGUGGUGAAAUGCGUAGAGAUCGGCAGGAACACCCAGGGGGAAACCAGCUGCCUGGGCAAGCGCUGACGCUGAGGUGCGAGAGCGUGGGGAGCGAACCGG
rnacentral:rRNA from 1 species